CCCUGGGACUCCAGAACCAUUUAGACUUGCUGAGACAUUCAGUAUUAUGGAUUUAACAGCUACCAGAUCCUUGGCCUUCCCACUGUGAGACAGCCAUUGUUGGACUGCCAGAUCACAGGGAAGGUUCCAGAUGGCUGACAAGCGAAGGCACCUUGCCAGGGCCUUAUUCCAUCCACAUGAAGACAGACCUGAAGAGGAAGACAAAACCUGCUCUUAGUCCAAUUCUCUACUGAUUGAGGGUCAUUGGCUGGAAAAAUCUUUUACAUUAAAAUAAAAAGCCAGCCUGCACCCGGAGCUGAUCCUGUGCUACAGUGCCCUGACCUGAUUAAGUACCACAACAGUCCAUACCCAAAUACCAUCAGGAGAGAGCUGGUCUCCCAGGAGUGCCUACACACUUAUGAGCACAGAGUGAAGUGGACUAUCUUUCCUGGUACCCAUAUUCUUGAGUGUGACUUGGACUUUGCAACCUCGAGGUCCCUAACAGUCGCUGGCCUCCGGAUUACACUAGAUCUCACGGAAACUUUGGCCAGGUUUGUGUCAAGGGAACAAAAGCCAACCAACACAGGGACUGAGGGAAGCUUCAUCUACUUCGUGAUCUUUGUUGAGCUCCAAGCUCUUUGUCACUGAGUAUGAUGUUGGAAAAAAAUCAAAUUGACUAGAAGAGCUAAAUCGGAAGCCAGGCACAGUAGCAGAUGUCAUUCCAUCCCUUGGAAUUACAGGCAGAAGGACCAUAAGCUGACAAACAGGCUAGGCUACCUAGAAAGAACUUCCCUCAAAGGAAAAAUGAACAAAACUUAGCUGCACUUCUGUAUGGUCAUUAAGGAGUUCAAAGGAAAAUCAUCACCCAUUAACAAGGUUGGCAGAGUAUAAAGAAAGCCAGCAUGCCUGAGAAGAGGAACAUCAGAAAUCACCGACAUGUCUGAUCAGAGAAUGCACACAGAAGCCUCCCUUCCUACUUAAAGCAAAAGGACUUUCUGGGUGAUCAAGAAAAUGCCAUCUGACCUCUGUGGUUGUUAAGAGGAGCACCCUAAAGAAAUCACAGAAGAGCCGAAAGGAAAUGAAAGGUUACUGCACAGAGACAAAAGCUUUGUGUAAAGAGAGAUGGCAGUCAGAACCGCGGUCACAAUAAAAGCACAACUGUGGUUUAUCUAAUUAACACACUUGUGUACACAUAUAUGUGUGUGCAUAUUCUGGAGGACGAAGGCACCCUUUUGUAUGCAGGUUCAUGUGUAUGUACAUUUUGAGACAGGCAUUUUGAGACAUCUCUUUCUCUCUCACUGGCUUGCUAAUUCACCUAGGCUAGCUACCCAGUGAGCCCCAAGGAUGCUCCUGUCUCCACUUCCCUAGAGCUGGGAUUACAAUCAGGUACCACUGUACCCAGUGUUUUAUGUGUGUGGGUUCUGGGACUUGAACUCAGAUCUCAGUACCUCAAUCUUGUGUUCCAAGUAUUUUCCCAACCAAGCCAUCUCACCAGCUCCAUGUCUAAGGACAUGAAGUAUUUCAAUUAAACUUUGUAACAUUUAAUGGUAAUAAAAUAUG